CUUGGUCAUUUAGAGGAAGUAAAAGUCGUAACAAGGUUUCCGUAGGUGAACCUGCGGAAGGAUCAUUAAGAAUUGAUAAUAUUUGUGAAAUUUACACAGCAAACAAUAAUCAUACAAUCAAAACAAAAAUAAUCAAAACUUUUAACAAUGGAUCUCUUGGUUCUCGUAUCGAUGAAGAACGCAGCGAAACGCGAUAUUUCUUGUGAAUUGCAGAAGUGAAUCAUCAGUUUUUGAACGCACAUUGCACUUUGGGGUAUCCCCCAAAGUAUACUUGUUUGAGCGUUGUUUCUCUCUUGGAAUUGCAUUGCUUUUCUAAAAUUUCGAAUCAAAUUCGUUUGAAAAGCAACACUAUUCAACCUCAGAUCAAGUAGGAUUACCCGCUGAACUUAAGCAUAUCAAUAAGCGGAGGAAAAGAAACCAACAGGGAUUGCCUUAGUAACGGCGAGUGAAGCGGCAAAAGCUCAAAUUUGAAAUCGGCCACCAGGUCGAGUUGUAAUUUGUAGAUUGUAUCUUGAGAGCGGAUUAAAGUCUGUUGGAACACAGCGCCUUAGAGGGUGACAGCCCCGUAAAAUCUAUUCUCAUUGUAAGACACUUUCGAAGAGUCGAGUUGUUUGGGAAU
rnacentral:sRNA from 1 species